rnacentral:lncRNA from 1 species
UCCAACGUCACCCUCCACUGCCUUCAAUAAUUGUUGCAGUGAUCUUUUACAAGAUUCUUAGAGAAUUACCGAUUAGAUUUCGGAGGAUUUUUCUAUGCACUUUGUCAAGAUUAUGACCCUCAAACAUUCAGUCUCCAAGAUGCCAAGAUUGAAAGAUUGAAAAUAGAAGAACUGCGUACUAAUCUUACUCUAUACAAGAAGUCGAU